AAUAAAUGUAUUACAAGAGUCACCUCUCUGGUUGUUAAUUUUGUGUCCAGUUGAUGGAUAGAUUUUUUUGAGGUUGCAUGUUAAACACUAUCCUGUUUUUUUUCUUUGUAACAGAUUGAGGUUUUUUAGUGAUAUUAACAUAAAAGACCUUUAAAUGCUAUUUUUUCACUAGAGAAAAAGAAAAUGUUACAAAUGUUGAAUACUUGAUGGUAGUUUUUGUAAGUUUCUCCACUAACUGUUUGGCUCACGGUGACACAGAACACAGCACAUUGUAACUACAGGAACAGACUCGACUGUGAAAGAUCUCUAUCAGGCAUCACAGAGAAUUUGAGGCAGCUGGCAGUUAUCAGCUGAAGCAGUUAGUCACUAGAACUGCACAAGAUAAAUAGAUAAUUGAAAAGCCAUCUGGAAACCUGGGAGAGAUAAUAAGCCUCUCUUCUAGAAGUGAGGUAACAACUCAGACAAAUCAGGAUUCUGUAAAAUUGUUGGAUCUUCUCUUGCCGUUUGCUGUGACUCGUGCACUUCAUACAACAAUACCUGAAGCUAUUGGCCAGGUAAAGCAAUCUUGGGUAUCUUCAUGUGCUUGUGUUCUAAAAAUGUGUAUCAAUGUACAUCUUGGACCUCUCAGGCUUAUUUAAUACAUUUAAGAUAUUACAGGAUUAUUUGAGUUGGUAACCUGAAAUAAUCUGACACUGCAUUUAUUGAUGCACAAGAUUAUUCAGAAUUUUGUGUCCAAAUGUCUUACUUACCUUACAGUUCCAUGUGAAUAAAAUUAUUUGCUUU
rnacentral:lncRNA from 1 species